GGGGGUGUAGCUCAGCUGGGAGAGCGCUACAAUCGCACUGUAGAGGUCAGGGGUUCGAAUCCCCUCACCUCCACCA
rnacentral:tRNA from 1 species